GAAAUGCGAUAAGUAAUGUGAAUUGCAGAAUUCAGUGAAUCAUCGAAUCUUUGAACGCACCUUGCGCUCCUUGGUAUUCCUUGGAGCAUGCCUGUUUGAGUAUCAUGAAAUCUUCAAAGUAAAUCUUUUGUUAACUCAAUUGGUUUCUACUUUGGUAUUGGAGGUCUUUGCAGCUUCACACCUGCUCCUCUUUGUUCAUUAGCUGGAUCUCAGUGUUAUGCUUGGUUCCACUCGGCGUGAUAAGUUAUCUAUCGCUGAGGACACUGUAAAAGGUGGCCAAGGUAAAUGCAGAUGAGCCGCUUCUAAUAGUCCAUUGACUUGGACAAUACUUUUAUGAUCUGAUCUCAAAUCUGGUAGGACUACCCGCUGAACUUAAGC
rnacentral:misc_RNA from 1 species